CCUUAAACCGGAAACAUGCCCGAUUGUGGCAGUAGAUUUUGGAAAAUGCAGUCGACAGUGCGGUCUGGUUCGGUCAGCAUGAAGUGUUAUGAAGUGCCAGUUUGCCAACCUGAUCACUGGUUUUUGACAGCAGACCGUCUACUUCCUUGAUACCUGAACAACUCCUACAGUGAAGAGGCAUUUCCUGAACAAUGGAGCGACAUCCUCGAGACACAACAACAGAAGCUUUCUAAAGACAUGCAAACCAUGAGAUGGAAACUUGCUUUGUAAUUCACUACCAGUGACUGGCAGUCCUGAAACAGAAUGUCCAACUUUUCUUGGCAAAUUCCAGACCUACCAUCAGGAUGCAGUGUUCUGUAAGACACUGCAAGAGCUUUGUCCUUCUGGGAUUCCUAAUCCUU